UACGGGAGGCAGCAGUGGGGAAUAUUGCACAAUGGGCGCAAGCCUGAUGCAGCCAUGCCGCGUGUAUGAAAAAGGCCUUCGGGUUGUAAAGUACUUUCAGUCGUGAGGAAGGUGUUAAGGUUAAUAACCUUAGCAAUUGACGUUAGCGACAGAAGAAGCACCGGCUAACUCCGUGCCAGCAGCCGCGGUAAUACGGAGAGGGCUAGCGUUAUUCGGAAUUAUUGGGCGUAAAGAGCGCGUAGGCUGAUUAGUAAGUUAAAAGUGAAAUCCCAAAGCUUAACUUUGGAAUUGCUUUUUAAAACUGCUAGUCUAGAGAUUGAAAGAGGAUAGAGGAAUUCCUAGUGUAGAGGUGAAAUUCGUAAAUAUUAGGAGGAACACCAGUGGCGAAAGGCGUCUAUCUGGUUCAAAUCUGACGCUGAGGCGCGAAGGGCGUGGGGAGCAAACAGGGAUUAGAUACC
rnacentral:rRNA from 1 species